AAUAUAACUGCACAGCCUUAACCCGUGUAUUUCCUUCAGCUGACCGGAUUGAUUCCUCCAACUUUGACCCUUGUCCUUCAUGGAAAUUAGGUUGCCAAAUGGUGGCUCUAAACUUCCAAACUGAUACAUACACUUUCCUGAACCACGCUCUCUUCACUUUAAAUGGAGGCACAGGCUAUGUGCUUAAACCAGAGUGGAUGCGAGACCCAACCAAGAAGAAGACUACUAAACAAAACAUCACAAUCAAAGUGAUAGCAGCAAGGCAUCUACCCACUGGCAUGCCUUUUGUAAAUGUUGAACUAUGGCCAUACGUAAACAGCAGAAGUCAUCAAAUCGAUGACUACAGUUUUAAAACUUCUCUCGGUAAGGU